rnacentral:rRNA from 1 species
UGAUGAUAUUCUUCGGUUAAAGAUUAAGCCAUGCAUGUGUAAGAGUAAACAAGUUACUAGUGAAUCUGCGUAUGGCUCAUUAUAUGAAUCAUUACUUACCCGAGCACCAAAUCACAACUGGAUAACCGUUGUAAUUCAAGGGCUAAUCAUGCAUCAAAGCAAGUCUCUCACGGGACUUGUGCAUUUGUUAGUCUAAAACCAACUUUACAAGUAGGUGAAUCAUGACAAAUUGCGGAUCCUCAUGUUGCAAAAGACGGAGGACGACUCGGUCAGGUCUUUCCCCUAUCAGUUUUCGUAGGAAAUGUAUUGAAUUUUCUAGACUUUGACGGGUAGCGGAAAAUAAGGGUUUGAUUCCGGAGAAGGAGCCUGAGAGACGGCUACUACAUCUAAGGAAGGCAGCAGGCGCGCAAAUUUCCCAAUGCUCAUCGAGCGAGGAAGUGACGACCAAUAACAAUGUGCGACUCAUUCGAGUUGUGCAAUUGGAAUGACUACAAUGUAAAGUGUUUAAGAAGGAUCAAUU